CUCUGGUACAAGCUGGGGAAGAAAUGAAGAAUGCACUGCACUGUAUGCAGUAUAUUUCUUUGAAGAUAUCCCCGCCGGCACUGCGUGGUAACUAUAUCUACGGCAUACUCCUCCUGUACACUGUUCUCUAUACAAUCUCUCAGCCAGGCAGGCCUUAGCGCGGUGUAUCCGACCGCCACUUAUCCAUCCUUGCUCGUCCCGUACGGCAGAUGUAUCGGAUAUCUGUGAAACAUGCAAACUAUAUCUUAAGAUAGGUUCACCACCUUGAAAGUAUUGAUCCUUUUGGUGCAGUGGUAAAACCUCCCAUCAAGAUUGCAUGUUUUACAAUAUCCCCUUCUUUAUUUAUUAUUUUUGCCAUCGGAUGCUGACAAACCC
rnacentral:sRNA from 2 species